GGAGCUAAAAAGCUUUACCAGCACAGCUAUGAAGAAUGCAAUAAAUCAUAGUCUUCGCUGAGGCUGUUAAGACUGCAAAAAGUCCUGGCAUAGGGAUCAGUACACACACAAAAGAUGGGUAAAAUAUCCUCGUAUGCCUGCACACAUGCAGGCCCAUCACCCAAGGAGCCAAGGUUCAGAUUCUCAAGUUUGAGUGGCCAGCUGAGGAGUCGCUUCACCGAGAGCCGGAAGGGGCUGGGCAAUCAAGACCGUGGUGGCAACGGAGUGGUGUAAUGAGACGGGAUGAAAUCUCUUCAGUGUUUGGACCUUGAGUCAAUAACAGGCUGGAAUAAACUCCAAGGGCAGGAGUGCAGUUGCUGCAGGUAGGCUUGUGUUUGAUAUAGCAGCGCGUCCUGACAGAUCUCAAGUCAAAUGGCAUGACUAAGGCCGGUUAUUACUUACUGGUAUUGCAUUUCA